GACGAACGCUGGCGGCGUGCUUAACACAUGCAAGUCGAACGGUAAGGCCCUUCGGGGUACACGAGUGGCGAACGGGUGAGUAACACGUGGGUGAUCUGCCCUGCACUUCGGGAUCAGCCUGGGACACUAGGUCUAAUACCGGAUAGGACAACUGCCUGCAUGGGUGGUGGUGGAAAGCUUUUGCGGUGUGGGAUGGGCCCGCGGCCUAUCAGGUUGUUGGUGGGGUGAUGGCCUACCAAGGCGACGACGGGUAGCCGGCCUGGGAGGGUGACCGGCCACACUGGGACUGAGAUACGGCCCAGACUCCUACGGGAGGCAGCAGUGGGGAAUAUUGCACAAUGGGCGCAAGCCUGAUGCAGCGACGCGGCGUGAGGGAUGACGGCCUUCGGGUUGUAAACCUCUUUCAGCACCGACGAAGCGCAAGUGACGGUAGGUGCAGAAGCAGGACCGGCCAACUACGUGCCAGCAGCCGCCGUAACAC
rnacentral:rRNA from 1 species